AGGGAAUCUUCCACAAUGGACGAAAGUCUGAUGGAGCAACGCCGCGUGAGUGAUGAAGGUUUUCGGAUCGUAAAACUCUGUUGUAAGGGAAGAACAAGUACGAGAGGUAAUGCUCGUACCUUGACGGUACCUGGCGAGAAAGCCACGGCUAACUACGUGCCAGCAGCCGCGGUAAUACGUAGGUGGCAAGCGUUGUCCGGAAUUAUUGGGCGUAAAGCGCGCGCAGGCGGCCUUUUAAGCCUGCUGGG
rnacentral:rRNA from 1 species